UACAGAGGCCUCGAGCGUUAGGCGGAAUCACUGGGCUUAAAGCGUGUGUAGGCGGACUUCUAAGUGCCUUGUGAAAUCCCACGGCUCACCCGUGGAACGGCUGGGCAUACUGGGAGUCUUGAGCCACCUAGGGGCUGCCGGAACAAAUGGUGGAGCGGUGAAAUGCGUAGAUAUCGGGAGGAACACCGGUGGCGAAGGCGGUUCUCUGGGCCUGUACUGACGCUGAGGAGCGAAAGCGUGGGGAGCGAACAGG
rnacentral:rRNA from 1 species